rnacentral:rRNA from 1 species
GGGAGGCAGCAGUGAUGAAUAUCGACAUGGCGCAAGCUGAUCCAGCCAUGCCGCGUGCAGGAUGACGGUCCUAUGGAUUGUAAACUGCUUUUAUACGAGAAGAAACACUGCUUCGUGAAGCAGCUUGACGGUAUCGUAAGAAUAAGGAUCGGCUAACUCCGUGCCAGCAGCCGCGGUAAUACGGAGGAUCCAAGCGUUAUCCGGAAUCAUUGGGUUUAAAGGGUCCGUAGGCGGUUUAAUAAGUCAGUGGUGAAAGCCCAUCGCUCAACGGUGGAACGGCCAUUGAUACUGUUAAACUUGAAUUAUUAGGAAGUAACUAGAAUAUGUAGUGUAGCGGUGAAAUGCUUAGAGAUUACAUGGAAUACCAAUUGCGAAGGCAGGUUACUACUAAUGGAUUGACGCUGAUGGACGAAAGCGUGGGUAGCGAACAGGAUUAGAUACCCUGGUAGUCCACGCCGUAAACGAUGGAUACUAGCUGUUGGAAGCAAUUUCAGUGGCUAAGCGAAAGUGAUAAGUAUCCCACCUGGGGAGUACGUUCGCAAGAAUGAAACUCAAAGGAAUUGACGGGGGCCCGCACAAGCGGUGGAGCAUGUGGUUUAAUUCGAUGAUACGCGAGGAACCUUACCAAGGCUUAAAUGUAGUUUGACCGAUUUGGAAACAGAUCUUUCGCAAGACAAAUUACAAGGUGCUGCAUGGUUGUCGUCAGCUCGUGCCGUGAGGUGUCAGGUUAAGUCCUAUAACGAGCGCAACCCCUGUUGUUAGUUGCCAGCGAGUCAUGUCGGGAACUCUAACAAGACUGCCAGUGCAAACUGUGAGGAAGGUGGGGAUGACGUCAAAUCA